rnacentral:rRNA from 1 species
GAUGAACGCUGGCGGCGUGCCUAAUACAUGCAAGUCGAGCGGAUCUUCCCUUCGGGGAAGGUUAGCGGCGGACGGGUGAGUAACACGUAGGCAACCUGCCUGCAAGACCGGGAUAACAUUCGGAAACGAAUGCUAAUACCGGAUACGCAGUUUCCUCGCAUGGGGAGACUGGGAAAGACGGCGCAAGCUGUCACUUGCAGAUGGGCCUGCGGUGCAUUAGCUAGUUGGCGAGGUAACGGCUCACCAAGGCGACGAUGCAUAGCCGACCUGAGAGGGUGAUCGGCCACACUGGGACUGAGCCACGGCCCAGACUCCUGCGGGAGGCAGCAGUAGGGAAUCUUCCGCAAUGGACGAAAGUCUGACGGAGCAACGCCGCGUGAGUGAUGAAGGUUCUCGGAUCGUAAAGCUCUGUUGCCAGGGAAGAACAGCCGGAAGAGUAACUGCUUUCGGAAUGACGGUACCUGAGAAGAAAGCCCCGGCUAACUACGUGCCAGCCGCCGCGGUAACAC